rnacentral:rRNA from 1 species
UACGUAGGGUGCGAGCGUUAAUCGGAAUUCUGGGGCGUAAAGCGUGCGCAGGCGGUUCGUUGUGUCGGCGGUGAAAGCCCCGGGCUUAACCUGGGAAUGGCCGUUGAAACUGGCGAACUGGGAGUGUGGCAGAGGGGGGUUGGAAUUCCGCGUGUAGCAGUGAAAUGCGUAGAGAUGCGGAGGAACACCGAUGGCGAAGGCAGCCCCCCUGGGCUAACACUGACGCUCAGGCACGAAAGCGUGGGGAGCAAACAGG